GUUGAACGCUGGCGGCGUGCUUAACACAUGCAAGUCGAACGGAAAGGCCUCUGCUUGCAGGGGUACUCGAGUGGCGAACGGGUGAGUAACACGUGGGUGAUCUGCCCUGCACUUCGGGAUAAGCCUGGGAAACUGGGUCUAAUACCGGAUAGGACAAUGGUUUGGAUGCUGUUGUGGAAAGUUUUUCGGUGUGGGAUGAGCUCGCGGCCUAUCAGCUUGUUGGUGGGGUAAUGGCCUACCAAGGCGUCGACGGGUAGCCGGCCUGAGAGGGUGUACGGCCACAUUGGGACUGAGAUACGGCCCAGACUCCUACGGGAGGCAGCAGUGGGGAAUAUUGCACAAUGGGCGCAAGCCUGAUGCAGCGACGCCGCGUGGGGGAUGACGGCCUUCGGGUUGUAAACUCCUUUCGCUAGGGACGAAGCGUUUUUGUGACGGUACCUGGAGAAGAAGCACCGGCUAACUACGUG
rnacentral:rRNA from 1 species